GGGAAUAACGUUUUAAGCAUAUAUUAUGCCUACACUAGAACAAAAAACCCCCAAUUUAGUUAUAUAAAAUUGGGGAAGAAACUCCUUUUUCCAUUGAAGCGUAAAACAUAAAUUAGCCCCUUCUCCUCUUUCUCCCUCUUCUCUGUGUUUUUUUUUGAAACGAGAAAGAUAAAAGGUAUUAUCGCACUCGAUUGCAACCCAUAUUUCCCCAAACUCGCCGGCACUCGGCUGAGACCAAAACGACAAAUUGGGGAAGAAAACCCUCCAAGAAAACCCACUUCAUUCUCCAAACCUACAUUCAAGUUACAAGGGAUGAAGAGAACUAGCAUCAAAUCUCGCUCCAAAGGCACAAUGGAGUUGAAGAAUGUUGUAUCUGAAAAGAGGAGGUGAAAUUUUUAAAACUUUGAAAACGGCUGCAGAUCUGCUUUAAAAAGGUAAAAAAAACUUUGAUAAAGAAGAGUUCUUUUUGUGAUUCAGGUAAUUUUGUCAUACAUUGAUUUAGUUUAUCUUAUAGUUGAUGAAUUUGUUAUUUUCCUUUGGUGAAUUGAUUUAUAGAAACUUAUUUUGGUCAAAAUUCAGAUUUUAAUGUUGAUGUAGGUUGACCCUUGCCACUCUUACCAAAUCUUUGGUAAGUGAAAGUAGUACACUGUUGUAGCAAUAAUUACACUUAGUAUUUAUUGAAAUUUUAUCUAGUUUAUAAUUAUCUAUUAUGUCCAGAUUUGGGCAUGGGAGAGAGUUACCGUCCUUACGCCUCAGAUUGUAGCAAAAAGAGAUACAAGGAAUAUUUUUCCUGUUGGUUUACCAAGGGGUCCACAUGGUGCUACAUUACCAAGGGGUCAAAUUGAUUAGGAAGAUUUAUACCAAUGUCAUUUUGAGAAAAAUCUCUAGCAUUAUUGAUAUCUUCAUCUGAUUCACUUUCACCAUCAUCUUUUGAAGGUUCAUCUCCCUCCGAACAUUCUUCACUAAUUUAAGCAUUUACAUCAUUAUAUGGAUCAACAUUGUUCUCAUUUUCUCUGUGGAAAAAGAAGUUCAAUUAAAUUUUAGAAAAUUAUGAUACAUAGAAGCUUGUUUUAAAAUCAGUAAUUUAUUCUCCAUAAG
rnacentral:misc_RNA from 1 species